UUACGGCCACAUCACGAUGAAACACCGGUUCCCGUAAUAUCACCGAAGUUAAGCAUCGUCAAGCCGGGUCAGUAUUUUGAUGGGUGACCGUUUGGGAAUACCGUGUGCUGUAA